AGUGCAAAAAGAAUAAAGCAAUAAUAAUGUACUAACGCGAAAAAACAAAGAGUUGCAGCAAAACGGUGACGUUUUUAAGGCAAAUCUCCCAUGGAAACUGCCAAUGGACUCGGUACCGGUGUUGCUCCCGAGCCGCGUGAAACACAAAAGGGAGUCUUAAGUGUGAAAGCUGCGGUGAGCAAAAGAGCCACACUUCUCCGUGAGAGAGAAAGGGCAAUUCCAAGCAGACUCCGAAAUGGCGAUAUCCGGGAAUUUAAGGGUUCGCUGCUACCCUCGCCUCUUACCAUCAACACCACCCUUUUCGAAGCUCCGUCCCCUCUUCAAAGAUUUUCUCAAUUCCGUGGUUGGUUGCCGAAUAAGAUUUCAGUGUCUAUUUGAGGGUUAGAGUUGCAGAUACUAUUCUGAAUCGUUUGAAUUCCAAGUUUUGAGCCGCUCUUUUCCAACCAAAUGGAGGAUGAGCUAAUUGGGUUUUCCUAAUUUUUGUAGCAGCAGCUGCAGCAACAUGUAGCCCUGUAAACCCUUACCAGUGCUCUAAUUUUCAACUUCGGCAAAAUAUUUUCUGGGUUUUAUUAGCUGUCCUUUUGUCUAAUUAUUUUAUGCUUUGUCCUUCUUGGGUUUGUAAGCUUCAAUUUUUUGUGCAGUUUGCUUUGCAAGUAUCUACUUUUUAUCGAAAAUUUGCACUUCAUCAAAGUCAAAUACAUACCUGUUUUUGUUGGCCUUGUCUUCUUUCAAUCGAUGGUCAUGACUAUGGGUUGAUCUUGUU